rnacentral:rRNA from 1 species
UACGUAGGUGGCAAGCGUUGUCCGGAUUUAUUGGGUUUAAAGGGUGCGUAGGCGGUUCUCUAAGUCAGUGGUGAAAUACGGCAGCUCAACUGUCGAGGUGCCAUUGAUACUGGAGGACUUGAGUACUGAUGAGGUAGGCGGAAUGGACGGUGUAGCGGUGAAAUGCUUAGAUAUCGUCCAGAACACCGAUAGCGAAGGCAGCUUACUAAGGAGUAACUGACGCUGAGGCACGAAAGUGUGGGGAUCAAACAGG